GAUGAAGAACGUAGCGAAAUGCGAUAAGUAAUGUGAAUUGCAGAAUUCCGUGAAUCAUCGAAUCUUUGAACGCAUAUUGCGCCCGCCAGUAUUCUGGCGGGCAUGCCUGUUCGAGCGUCAUUUCAACCAUCAAGCCCCAGGCUUGUGUUGGGGACCUGCGGCUGCCGCAGGCCCUGAAAACCAGUGGCGGGCUCGCUGUCACACCGGGCGUAGUAGAUUUUAUCUCGCUCAGGGCGUGCUGCGGGUUCCGGCCGUUAAAAAGCCUUUUUUACCCAAGGUUGACCUCGGAUCAGGUAGGAAGACCCGCUGAACUUAAGCAUAUCAAUAAGCGGAGGA
rnacentral:misc_RNA from 1 species